CAGGACGUAGCUAAGGGUAAAGCACCUCCCUUACACCGAGGAGACAUCCGUGCAAACCGGAUCGUUCUGA
rnacentral:tRNA from 2 species